rnacentral:sRNA from 1 species
GUAUUACUUUAAAUUCAAAUUCCCUUAUAUAGUUUUGCAAAGCUGAUCAUAAAGAUUUUAAGAGCCUUUCAAUCGAAUCAAUAAUUAUUAAGUCGUUCGUUAAAGACGCUAUUCACAUCAAUCACAAUUUCAAACUUGGAACGUGCAAUAUAAAACCUUAAAUGGAACCCGCUUGACACUUUGCUCGAGUUUUAUUACCCGACUUUGGGACGCCCAAAAAUAAUUUAUUUAUGCUUUUGACCGCAUAAAUAAAUGCCAAGCAAAUCAUAGAUCGUAGUUCCGCAUAAAAAACAACCAGAAACUAUACCUGCAGCACAUUAAGGAGCCAUAAAAAUUGGGGAAGCUCUUAUUUUUUAAUGGAUUGUGGAUCAGCGAACACAAAUAUUUUAGUAAUGCCCCGAAACUAGAUUCUUGUUUGUGGAAAAUCAAUUAAAAAACUAUUCCAAUCGAGUGGCUAAUUAAAAAAUGGAAUUCCGAAGAAUAGAGUCAUUUGAUGCACUUUUAACUGUGGUUUAAUGGCAAAACUCGAUGGUGUCAUAAAAUUAGAGCAAUAUGCGUGGGGUAGGAUAUUCAAUCCUGUUUUUGUAACAAUCGCGUGUCCCACGCGAAAUUCAAAAAGAAUCAAACAAAUGAGCCGAGAGCCCUCGAGCAAUAACAAUUCCUCCCCAACUCCAUUCAAUCCUUGUUGACUUUUCCUGUCACAGGGAUGGACACAUAAUUGCACAAUGAUUGAGUCCAGAUGUACAGUGAAAACAAAAAUAUGCGACCUGAAUAAAGGAGUCAUUAAUGGGAAAACUAUUAUGAAGUUGUGCAACUCCAGGGACACUUUCUCUUACGUAUCAAGCAGCUCAUAAACAUUUGCCACCAAGCACGUAGCCAUUAUGUUGGUCUAGAACCCACAAUGGUUUUGCCGGCGCUAGAACUCGCCAGCACAGAAAGCGGAAAAGUGCGGUGAAAACGCCUCCUGGCAGGGGGAUUUCCCGGAAUCGAACUAACAGAGCGCCAGGAGCAGAGAAAGGACAUAACUCAGAGUGCCGGACUGGCUGCACAGCCAACAGCUGUUUUUGCGGCCAGCAGCAGCUGAAAAUCGAAAUUAAGCCGAAACACCCUGUCUCUCAAAAGUCACCCACUCGGUCGAGCGAAACACUCGGAAUUUUGGGUAACGCCCAUUCAGUGGAUUGAGUGGAUUGCUCAGUGGUUGGGCACACGCGAGUUGAGUGACUUUCGGGCGAGUGGUUUCAGCACUGCGACGACGCAAACUCACAAAAAAAAUAUUGAAAAACAAACAAAAACAGGGCGAAAAAAUAAAC